rnacentral:rRNA from 1 species
UACGGAGGGUGCAAGCGUUAUUCGGAUUUAUUGGGCGUAAAGGGCGUGUAGGCGGUCUGAUAAGUCAGGUGUGAAAGCCCCUGGCUCACCCAGGGAAGGGCACUUGAAACUAUCAGACUUGAGUACGGGAGGGGGAAGUGGAAUUCCUGGUGUAGAGGUGAAAUUCGUAGAUAUCAGGAGGAAUACCGGUGGCGAAGGCGACUUCCUGGACCGAUACUGACGCUGAGACGCGAAAGCGUGGGGAGCAAACAGG